rnacentral:lncRNA from 1 species
AGACGCAGGACCCAUGGAGCUAUGAGGGAGUACAUAAAUCACAUGAUGCCAGCAGCUGCUGAGUAGACGUUUUACCACCAUGGGGAUGAUGCAGGUAUUUCCACCUGGAUGAACAGAGGGACUUUCAACCAAUGCUCUGGUGGCCACAGAGGCAUCACGUAUUUGCAGCCUGAGACCCUACAGCACGGCAUUUUCUUUGCAAGCUUCUUUUUUUUCCUGGCAAUUUUUCAGCCCUCAUCAAUCACUGCUGUUUUCCUAUGUUGUCUCCAGCUUUUAUGAGGACAGGUCUGCAGUCACACCACCUUGUCCCCCAAGCAGGGCAGCGCCUGGCUCACAGCGCUCAUGCAGGAGUGAAGAGGGGUCACAGGGAAUGGAGAAAGCCAUGCAGGAGGAAGACACAAAGCAAUACCAUAUCCCCAGCUUAACUGUUCACCUUCCAUCCAUAAGGACUCAGGAGGAGGCUCUAGCUUCCCUUACAGCAUAUACACACAGCAUGGAAAGGCUCUGCUUAGUUUCAUGUGUGCUGUAUGGCUAUUGCUUAUGGCUAGCAAUGCUCCAGUAAUAAGAUACAAGUAAUACAAUAAGACUUAAUGGAGAGAAAAAAAUUGAAUCCUUUUACACAAAAAGUCCCAACAAAAAGAAUUUUUACUGGAACUUGAGCAUCUCAAUCCUAUACAAAGCUGAUGCCCAGUAUUAAGAUUUUCUCUCUGCUCUUCCACACAUCCAAGGAAAACCACAGUGGUACACACAAAUCUGUUGCAGGAUCACACGAUGCAUGUCAGCUGUAUGUCUUGGAAGUUGCUCAUCAGAGCCCCAGCAAAAGGGUCUGUCGCCCAGCAAAUGUGCCAAGAAAGCCAUGAGAAGGAAUCACGACAGAGAACAGUAGCUGAAAACAUGUGCUACAUGCAGAUGACUCCAUAUAGAAAUACCUGGGACAAAGUGUAUGCCAGCAGGCUAUCGUAUGUGCAGCUCCCGGGGAGUACGCGAGGAGAAAGACAAAGAAGAGCCCAGUGGGAACCAAGCAAGAGAUGUGAUUUUACCCAUGUGGUGUAAAAAAUGGGAAUGCACAGCGAGCUUGAGUUAAUGCACUUUCAAGUUAAUUACAGCAGAG